GCCAGGCGCUGUGGUGCAUGCCUGUAGUCCCAGCUACUGGGGAGGUUGAGGUGGGAGGAUUGCUUGAGUCUGGGAGUUCUGGGCUGUAGUGCACUAUGCUGAUCAGGUGUCUGCACUAAGUUCAGCAUCAAUAUGGUGACCUCCCGGGAGUGGGGGACCACCAGGUCUCCUAAGGAGGGGUGAAUCUGCCCAGGUCGGAAACAGAGCAGGUCAAAAUUCCUGUGCUGAUCAGUAGUGGGAUCGUACCUGUGAAUUGCCACCACACUCCAGCCUGGGCAACAUAGCGAGACCGA
ensembl:misc_RNA Metazoa_SRP Metazoan signal recognition particle RNA